CAGACUGAGGCCGGGGGAGGAAGGAGACUCCCGGAGCAAGGCUGGUGCUGGAGGCUGUGAGCCCGGGGAACUGCUGGUCUCGGUGGAGCCGGAGUUGCCAGUGUUGUCCCAAGAAGGUCCAUUCGUGCAGAGGCCUGGAGUGAGUGGCUCAUCAGCGCCUACAUGGAAAGGAGCCAUUCCAGCUGGCUGCAGCAAAGCUCCAAGGGCAACCUUUCACCCCUGGAGAGCCUUUCUCACAAGGGUUCUCAGACACUGCUGUACCCAACAAGAUCUCCGAAAGUACGUUCCUAACGUGGUCAUCUAUACUUCCCGUUUGACAUGUAAGGCCAGAAAGACCAGAGGCAGACAUAUUUCAAGAACAUUUCCAAGAUGAACCAGGUAAGCUGGGUGACGGUACAUGGGGAUUCACUAUAUGAUUCUACCAGCGUGUGUUUGAAUUUUUCCAUGAGAAAAAGUAUAUUUAAAAAACAGGACAGGGCACCUUGGUGGCUCAGUGGUUAAGCGUCUGUCUUGGGCUCAGGUCAUGAUCCCGGGGUCCUGGG